rnacentral:tRNA from 1 species
UGGGUUAAAGUCCGCCGGUUUGGACAGCUAUUUGUUAAUUAGUCUUAUGUGGGAUCGAGGCCCACUGGCCCAU